AGACGCAUGUACAUAGUCAGUUUGUCCUUAAAGCUGUUCAAUAAAUCUUAUUUCAGCGGAUGGAGCAGGUCCAGGAGAUGCUGCAGAUACAGCGGAUGAAGCAGGUCCAGGAGAUGCUGCAGAUACAGCGGAUGGAGCAGGUCCAGGAGAUGCUGCAGAUACAGCGGAUGGAGCAGGUCCAGGAGAUGCUGCAGAUACAGGUGGA